CGCGUAGGCGGGCUUUUAAGUCAGAUGUGAAAUCCCUGGGCUCAACCUAGGAACAGCAUUUGAAACUGGAAGUCUUGAGGGUAGUCGGAGAAAAUGGAAUUCCACGUGUAGCGGUGAAAUGCGUAGAUAUGUGGAAGAACACCGGUGGCGAAGGCGAUUUUCUAGAUUAUCCCUGACGCUGAUGCGCGAAAGUAAGGGGAUCAAACA
rnacentral:rRNA from 1 species